UACGUAGGGUGCGAGCGUGUCCGGAAUUAUUGGGCGUAAAGAGCUUGUAGGCGGUUUGUCGCGUCUGCCGUGAAAAUCCGGGGCUCAACCCCGGACUGCGGUGGGUACGGGCAGGCUAGAGUUCGGUAGGGGAGACUGGAAUUCCUGGUGUAGCGGUGAAAUGCGCAGAUAUCAGGAGGAACACCGGUGGCGAAGGCGGGUCUCUGGGCCGAUACUGACGCUGAGGAGCGAAAGCGUGGGGAGCGAACAGG
rnacentral:rRNA from 1 species